rnacentral:rRNA from 1 species
UACGGAGGGUGCAAACGUUGCUCGGAAUCAUUGGGCGUAAAGCGCACGUAGGCGGCCUGAUAAGUCGGGUGUGAAAGCCCUGGGCUCAACCCAGGAAGUGCACUCGAAACUGUCAGGCUUGAAUAUGGAAGAGGGUCGCGGAAUUCCCGGUGUAGAGGUGAAAUUCGUCGAUAUCGGGAGGAACACCAGUGGCGAAGGCGGCGACCUGGGCCAAUAUUGACGCUGAGGUGCGAAAGCGUGGGGAGCAAACAGG